rnacentral:rRNA from 1 species
AUUGAACGCUGGCGGCAGGCUUAACACAUGCAAGUCGAGCGGGGUGAUGGUGCUUGCACUAUCACUUAGCGGCGGACGGGUGAGUAAUGCUUAGGAAUCUGCCUAUUAGUGGGGGACAACAUCUCGAAAGGGAUGCUAAUACCGCAUACGUCCUACGGGAGAAAGCAGGGGAUCACUUGUGACCUUGCGCUAAUAGAUGAGCCUAAGUCGGAUUAGCUAGUUGGUGGGGUAAAGGCCUACCAAGGCGACGAUCUGUAGCGGGUCUGAGAGGAUGAUCCGCCAAACUGGGACUGGGACACGGCCCAGACUCCUACGGGAGGCAGCAGUGGGGAGUAUUGGACAAUGGGGGGAACCCUGAUCCAGCCAUGCCGCGUGUGUGAAGAAGGCCUUAUGGUUGUAAAGCACUUUAAGCGAGGAGGAGGCUCUUUCGGUUAAUACCCAAGAUGAGUGGACGUUACUCGCAGAAUAAGCACCGGCUAACUCUGUGCCAGCCGCCGCCGUAA